UACGUGCUGUCCAGCGGGCAGCAUUGGCGCGUUAUUUUGAACUAAACAUGGCGCUGAUACGCGCUUUACAGUUAUUGAAAUUGAGCAGUGUGUCUACAGCUUGGGUGGAUGCAGUGUGGGAUUUUGAGUUCACCCACACUGACCCUAUUGACCCUGUUAUUGAGGAGGAGAUCAAGGAAAAUGCUGAUGUUUUCAAAACAGUUUACAUGCAAUUGCUGCCUUUCUCCACCGAUGAUGCUGCUGCUGCUGCUGAUGAUGAUGAUGAUGAUGACACACAGAGUGUAUGGGGGGUGUUUGGUGAGAAUGGUGUCUCUACAAAAGCAUUGGUGGCUGUGCUUUCCUAUUUCAUUCUUAGCGCGAAAGGCAAAAGUCCCAGUCUUGAGCAAAGAUUGUGUGGUCUAGAGGCAGCUUCACUUUAUUUGUUGCUGCUGAAAAUACCAGGGAGCGUUGCAAAUAAGGUGUACCAUCAGAUCCUCUUUGACACCUGUCUAAACAUGCCUCUGAAAUGCUGGCCUCAAGACUCUGGGAGGAAACGGAAGAAAGAUUCUGUGAAAAGCUCACAGGGCGAUCCAAAAACUGGCAAACGAUCCAAACCGCCCAAGAAAGUGUCAGAGGAGAUGGAGAUUGAUGGCGAUGAAGAUGAUGAAGUGGAGGAAAUGUACUUCUCAGCACAGGACUUGCUGAAAAUAAGGGAGGACAUUGUCAUGUUGAUUCGCACACUCCUGCGACUUUUAGGGAAUUUUUCUCUUAAAGACAAACCUCAGAGUACUGACAGCUGUGUUCAGCUUUUCACAGGGCUUACUAACUUUGAACCAGUCAUUGGGGAUCUGUCAUUCAGUCAGAAAAGGAAUGUCGACCAAUUACAGAGCUUGCCUGAGCUGGCCUAUCAUGGACUGGGAAUUCUCUGCUCGGCCAUUCAUGGUGAAGGAGAUGAGUGUCGCCGUCGAGUGUUCCGAAAGUUGCUGUAUGUGAUUCUAAUGAUGAAAACACAAGAGCGGUCCAAGCCGUGUCUUCUUGUCCCGUCUCAGGCUGUUCAUAGUGCCAGAGACCAUGCUGUCCUCUUUAUUAGCCACAUUGUUGAUGAGCAGAGAGAGACCACAUUGCCACUUUUAAGGGUUCUUGUGCAACACAUCUGUCAUCAGAUGGUAGAGAAGUCUGAAUAUCGAGCCAGUGGAGCACAAGCUGUUGGGAAACUAAUGGCUAAGAUGCCGUGUCAGGACUACGCUGCCCUUGUUAAGUGGCUUCAUAACUACUCUAGAAACAAUAAGGUGGCCUUCAGAAUGUUUGCCCUGGAUAUCGCCAUGGCGCUUCUGGAGCAGGACGAAAGAGACGUGGAUGACACGGUGGACCCUGAUAUGGCAGUGUUCCUGUCUCACAGGUUCCUGGUACACAACAUAGUUUACGGUCAUCGUAAUGACAUUUCGCCCACGGUCAGAGGUCACGCACUACACUGCCUGGCCCUGUGUCUGGAGCUCCGUUCCCAGAAUGCCAUGAAAUGUGUCCAUGAACUCUUUUCCAACACAGGUGCUCAGACUAUGCUGGAGACGGGCCGCUCUGAGCAAACUCUGAAGAGAGGAGAGACAGGACAGAAAACCGCCCUGACCUUCAGAACCAUUGAGCUGACGAAGCACAAAAGCAUCACGGCGACCCAUAGGAGUGACAUCAACGCCACCUUACAGAAUGAAGAAACUAUGACUCUGUUUAAGAAGCAUGUCAGUGACCCAAAAACCAAUGCUAGGAAAAGUGCACUGGAGACUGUCAUGAGUCUGCUGAAGCAUGGGGUGGUCUCAUGCAGUGCAGAGAAUCUGAGUAUUCUGUCAGAUCGCUGCAGGGAUCCUGCUGUGUCAGUGAAGAAGAAAGCCAUGCAGUGCCUUAUGGAUCUUCUUGCGGCUCUGCCUGACAAUUUGGAGGUACAGGAGGCGUGGCUGAGAGGAGUGUUGCCGGCUGUCAUAGACUCUGAGAGCUCUGUGCAGGAGAAGGCUCUAGAGUGCCUGGACCACGUCAUCCUCGCACACAUUAAGAGUCAAGGCAAAUAUCAUCAUGGCGACACCUCUCAGAGACUAGCCUGGGACUUGCUGGGACUAAUGUGUGAAAAGUGUGAAGACCUCAGCCGUUAUUUCAGCAAGGCUUUCAGCGUGUGGGCUCCGCAGCAGAAGUUCACUCCCGCCUUUGUUAACGGUCUGCUCUCACACACAGAGGGAGAGAGGGCUGCUGCCGCCUGGCUGCUGUUAGCCAAAAUUGCGAGCUGUUCACCCAAACUCAACUAUAGCACCGUGCUAGAGACCUGGGAACGCACAGUCAGGUCACCAGUCGUUUCAGUUACAAUGACUUGUCAUAUCUUGAGCGUUAUGGGUGACAUUUCCUCUAAUCUCAAUGAUGACACUAAAAGCAGAAUUGUAGAUGAUCUGAUGGGCUGGUUGAAGAGUUUCAGUCUGCCUUUGGAGGUGAUCAGCUCCUGUGUGGAUACCCUGCUUAGAUUUGCAAAGUCAGACUGCACUCAGGACACAAUGAGGUUCUUAGAUUGUUUCUGUGGAGAAAUGGUCUCAGUGUGUGAAGCAUAUCUGUCCAGUAUCAUUCUAAAUGAGAAGGGAACAGAGAACAUCAAUGAGGAUCUGCUGGUGAAGCAUCUUUACACACUUGGUGUUGCUUCUCUCCAUUGCCCCUCUAAAGUGGGGAAAAGAAUUUUCCUUCUGGUUCAGUCCAUUCUCACUCCCUCCGAGCAGUCAGGUCAGGCUGAAGGAAAUGAGCUGCCUGCCAGCCAGCCUCUGUCUCAGUUCAAAGCCAAUUCUUUGCCUACAGUGGUCCGAGCACAUGCUGUUAUUGCAUUAGGCAAGUUGUGUCUGCAGCAUGAGGAAUUGAUGUUAAAGUAUCUGCCGGUGUUUGCACGGGAACUGGAGGUGGGCACAGAGCUGGCCGUGCGCAGUAACGUGGUGGUGGUCAUGUGCGAUCUCUGCGUGCGUUACACCAACACGGUGACCCGGUAUAUACCCAAUAUCUCAGCCUGCCUGAGAGACAAAGAGCGCAUCGUGAGAGAGCAAACCCUCAUUAUGCUGACAAACUUACUACAGGAGGAGUAUGUGAAAUGGAAAGGUAUGCUGUUUUUCCGAUUCGCUGUUACUCUCGUGGAUUCAGAUCCUGCCAUUGCAGAUCUCUGUGAAUACUGCCUGGUUGAUCUCCUGCUUAAGAAGAGCCCUCUCAUGUUCUCCCAACACUUCAUUGAGUGCAUUUUCCACUUUAACUCUUAUGAUAAACACAAGAAAUAUAAUAAAUUACCUCAAACUGAGAGUGAGAAAAGCAGGUUUUCUUUGAAAGGUCCACAGAAUCAAGGCAAACGUUUCAGAAUCUACAAGUUCCUACUGAAAAACUUCACAGAUGAGCAACGCUUCAGUAUCACAACCAAAAUUUGCCAGGACAUCCUCGCCUGUUUUGUCGACUCUGAACUGCCUUUGGACUCCGAUGGCUCCGAGUUGCUUGAAGACACAUUUGAUGUGCUCUCCCUAAAGGAGAUGAAGCUGACAGCCAUGAGUGGCCCUGCUGCAGGCGAGGAACCUCAGGAGGACGAGAUGGCCAUGGCUAAAGCCGUCUUACAGGUGGCUCAGAAAAAAUUGAUCACACAGGUCCAGAAGAAGAACUUUGUAGAGAAUGUUAUUCCAAUCAUCAUCAGUCUGAAGAAUAUGCUGGAAGAGCAACACUCGCCUGUUCUCAAACACAUUAUGGCCUACCUGCAGGUGACCAUGCAGGACUAUCGUUCAGAAGUGAAGGAGCUGUUCGCAGCUGAUGAGCAGUUGGCUGCAGAGGUGGAAUAUAACAUGAAGCAGUUUGAAAAGCAGAAACAAGAGCAGCAGCAGAUGGAGAAGGAACUGGCCAACUUCACGCUGUCACCCAGACAAAACGGUAAUGCUGUGGCUUCUCCUGCCCAGGCACCAAAUGUCGGACAUCAGUCGGGUUUUGCCACACCUCUCCGUCCUGGUACAAAGGGAUCCAAACAAACCCCUAAAUCUGCUGAUGCACUAAGACGGCGCACUUUUGCUGGCAUGGUAACCCCCGUCAGGAGCCAUCCUUCCUUUACAGUGAUUUCGACAGGACGAGCAAAACAGGUUGGGAGAGCCAUUAGUACUCCGCAAGCAAGCAUCAAUGAGGUGACGUUUGGAGAGCAAGUCAGUGCAAUCUGCAGUGAAUCUGGAAGAGGCAGCAAGAAUGUGGAGGAAGAAGAAAGCAUUUUAUAUCUGAUGUCACCAGAGAAACAAAAACCAGUGCACAAGCAAUGGAAUGUGGAAUCUCCUCUUGUAAAAAAAAAUAGAUCCAAAAAAGGUUGUAGUUAAUGUGCAUAUAUUGUAUUUUUUCAUUGUACCGUUCAGUUCAUUGGACCUUUAAAAUGAGCCCUUUUGAUUACUGUCCCUCCCCUGUUUAAAUGAUGUUUGACUCGUCAAAGGCAAUUUUAUUGAAUGUGCUUUUGAUGCUCUGUCUCACGGGUCACAUUCUUCUGUAAACUGUCAUAUGAAAAGCAUCAAUCCAGCCAUUUCUAUCAGAAGAGAAUGUGUAGUAACUAAAGGAUGUGUAAUAUGAAAUAUAUUAAAGGAAACAAAAUAAUCUCUCUUUUAGCUGUUUCUUUAUGUUUUGGUACCAGUGUAUUUUACAAUACUACACAUGCAUAUGUACUUUUACUGUAAUACUGUUUAAAUACUGUAAUAACUAGAUACCAGCCUAGUUACAGUAGGCCUUGUCAGUACUUUUUGGGGUAAGUACACCGCAAGUCUAAUCAAAAAUAUUAUGUCAGUCAUGAACAUUUUGAGUUGAGUAUCUAUAUAGACCACUUCGAGUGAUGUAAACAAUGCUGGUCUGUGACUUUUGCUGUCGUACGAGCUCGCAGGCGAUUGUUUUUGCCUUGGAGGAAAUUGUAUAUGCUUGUAUAAUUCCUUAUGACAACGACAAUCUCGCCCUAAAUAUAAAAUCUCGCGAAAUUUGGACAUAGCUGUAUCCCUGUUGGCCCUAGCCGUGAGAGAUUGCGGUUCAGAUCGCAUGUGUUUAUGGGAUUAAUGAAAAAAUACAAAUAAAAGACGUUUAUGGGUGUGCGAUCCAUGUCGGUGAGUUCAGUAUAAUAGCGCAUCGCCACAUAUUUAACAUAAUCUGUUGCUUAUUGAGUUCAGGAACGUGAUGUCAUCACGCCGCCAUCUUGUAUGCUACGCACAAAAGGAGACGCUUCUGUAGUGCGCAGCGACAGGGAGUCAGAGGGAAAUUUCUUAUAGGGAAAAACUUAAUGAAGCAAAUGUACGUUAAAUACAAACUUUAGCAACUAAUGUUACUCCUAUACUAAGCAGCGGCCGUCACAGCUUCUGUAGCAUACAAGAUGGCGGCGAUGACGUCGUUUCCAGGACUGAUCACGUGUGCACUGUUUUCUGUGAGACCCAGAUGAAGACAUCAAGAGGCCUGGACAGAUGUUGGCCUGCAGAACACCACACUAACAUUUCUGAUGUUGGUUGACUGACUACUACCAUGUUAUUAAAGAGAUAGUUCACCCAAAAACUAAAAUUUUGUCAUCAUUUACUCACCCUCAGGACAUUUCAAACCUGUAUGACUUACUUUCUUUAUCAAAAC